rnacentral:ncRNA from 1 species
CUAUCUUAAAAGGGGUGCCCAAAAGGCUGAGAUUACACCCAUUGAACCUGAUCUGGUAAUUCAGAAUAGGGAAAUGAGUCGACAUUAAA